CUUUCAACAACGGAUCUCUUGGUUCUGGCAUCGAUGAAGAACGCAGCAAAAUGCGAUAAGUAAUGUGAAUUGCAGAAUUCAGCGAAUCAUCGAAUCUUUGAACGCACAUUGCGCCCCCUGGCAUUCCGGGGGGCAUGUCUGUCCGAGCGUCGCGAAACAAUCGUCGACCGGGAGGCCC
rnacentral:rRNA from 1 species